rnacentral:rRNA from 1 species
UACGGAGGGUGCAAGCGUUAAUCGGAAUUACUGGGCGUAAAGCGUGCGCAGGCGGUUUGUUAAGUCUGUUGUGAAAUCCCCGAGCUCAACUUGGGAAUUGCAAUGGAUACUGGCAGGCUGGAGUAUGGUAGAGGAAGGUGGAAUUCCCGGUGUAGCAGUGAAAUGCGUAGAGAUCGGGAGGAACAUCAGUGGCGAAGGUGGCCAUCUGGGACAACACUGACGCUGAAGCACGAAAGCGUGGGGAGCAAACAGG